AAGCAUUUGCCAAGAGUGUUUUCGUCAAUCAAGAACGAAAGUUAGAGGUUCGAAGGCGAUCAGAUACCGCCCUAGUUCUAACCGUAAACGAUGCCAACCAGCAAUCCGCCAGUGUUAAAUGUAUGACUUGGCGGGAGGCUUCCGGUAAACCAAAGUUGGGUUCCGGGGGGAGUAUGGUUGCAAAGCUGAAACUUAAAGGAAUUGACGGAAGGGCACCACCAGGAGUGGAGCCUGCGGCUUAAUUUGACUCAACACGGGGAAACUCACCCGGCCCGAACACCGUAAGGAUUGACAGAUUGAGAGCUCUUUCUUGAUUCGGUGGAUGGUGGUGCAUGGCCGUUCUUAGUUGGUGGAGCGAUUUGUCUGGUUAAUUCCGAUAACGAACGAGACUCUAGCCUACUAAAUAGACAUUGGAUUCGGUUGUCCAGUGUACUUCUUAGAGGGACAAGCGGCGUCUAGCUGCACGAGAUUGAGCAAUAACAGGUCUGUGAUGCCCUUAGAUGUUCGGGGCCGCACGCGCGCUACACUGAAGGAAUCAACAUGCAUAUCAACCUUGUCCGGAAGGACUUGGUAACCCGUUGAAACUCCUUCGUGAUUGGGAUAGGGAAUUGCAAUUAUUUCCCUUGAACGAGGAAUUCCCAGUAAGUGCGGGUCAUCAGCUCGCGUUGAUUACGUCCCUGCCCUUUGUACACACCGCCCGUCGCUAUUACCGAUUGGAUGGUUCAGUGAGAGAUGCGGACUUGCGUUGAGGCGGCUUCACGGCUGCCUCUUCUGCGGGAA
rnacentral:rRNA from 1 species